AUGAGUUUGAUCCUGGCUCAGGAUGAACGCGCAAGACGUACAUUACACAUGCAAGUUAAUGGGAUAGUAUAAUUAUUAUAUUAUUCCAUAGCGUAUAGGUGAGUAAUACAUAAAAAUCAAAAUUUAGAUUAGAAAUAAUAAAAAUAAAUUUUUAGUAAUUUCUAAUAAACGCAGUUUAAGUGUUUUAAAAAGGUCAUUACCGUCUAAAAAUGAAUUUAUGUCUGAUUAGCUAGUUGGUAAAGUAAAAGCUUACCAAGGCGAAGAUCAGUAGUUGGCCUGAGAGGGUGGCCAGCCACAUUGGGAUUGAGAUAAGGCCCAAACUCCUACGGGAGGCAGCAGUGGGGAAUUUUCUGCAAUGAGCGUAAGCUUGACAGAGUGGCGUCGCGUGAAGGAUGAAGGCUUUUUAUAGCUGUAAACUUCUUUUGCCUUAUUUAUCAAUACUGAUAUUAAAAGGUUUCAAAAAGCAUCGGCUAACUUCGUGCCAGCAGCCGCGGUAAUACGAGGGAUGCAAGCGUUAUCCGGAAUUACUGGGCGUAAAGCGUCUGUAGGUUGUUUUAUGUGUAUUUAGUAAAAUUUCUUAUUUUAAGUAAGUAAAAUCUAAAUAAACUAUAAAACUAGAGUACAUUUAGAGGUAAGAGUAAUUUCUUAAGGAGUGGUGAAAUACGAAGAUAUAAGAAAGAGGGCCAUAGGCGAAGGCAUCUUACUGGGUUGUUUACUGACACUUAAAGACGAAAGUUAAGGGAGCGAAUGGGAUUAGAUACCCCAGUAGUCUUAACUGUAAACGAUGGGUACUCGGUACUGAUAUUUAUUUAUAUUAUAAAAAAUAACAGUUCCUUAGCUAACGCGUUAAGUACCCCGCCUGAGGAGUACGCUCGCAAGGGUGAAACUCAAAGGAAUUGACGGGGGCCCGCACAAGCGGUGGAGCAUGUGGUUUAAUUCGAUGCAACACGAAAAACCUUACCAGAGUUUAACUUUAUGUAUAAAAAUAUCUUUAUAGAAUUUUAUUUAAUAUAUAAAUAGGUGGUGCAUGGCUGUCGUCAGCUCGUGUCGUGAGAUGUUGGGUUAAGUCCCGCAACGAGCGAAACCCUUAUAAAUAGUUUAAAUAUUAUAUAUACAAUAUUUACUAUUUAGACUAUUUAGUUUUAAAAUUUAAUAAACUAAAAGGAAGAUAGGAUGACGUCAAGUCAGCAUGCCCUUUAUGCUCUGGGCUACACACGUGCUACAAUGGAUAAUACAAUAGGAAAUUAUAUAUUUUAUCGCGAGAAAAGAUUAAUCCUAAAAAUUAUUCUUAGUUCGGAACAUAAACUGCAACUCGUUUAUGUAAAGUUGGAAUCGCUAGUAAUCGCCAGUCAGCUAUAUGGCGGUGAAUUUGUUCUCGGGCCUUGUACACACUGCCCGUCACGCCACGGAAGUUAGUGUUUCUUAAAACUAUUUUAUUAAAUAACUAGAGAAAAAAUAAUGACUGGGGUGAAGUCGUAACAAGGUAGCCGUACUGGAAGGUGUGGCUGGAUUUUUA
rnacentral:rRNA from 1 species